rnacentral:snRNA from 1 species
AUACCUUUCUCGGCCUUUUGGCUAAGAUCAAGUGUAGUAUCUGUUCUUAUCAGUUUAAUAUCUGAUAUGUGGGCCAUGUGUCCACAACGAUAUUAAAUUUAUUUUUCCUGGGGGAGGGCCCACCACAGUAGCUU